UGUGCACACUCUGUUUGCAUCCACUCACACCUGUGCACCUUCUGUAGUUCUAUGGUCUGGGAGACACCUGUCUUCCCUCCCGUGGUUCUACGUCUUUACACACACACUGUAACGUAGUCUUAUGGAAUGGAUGCAGCGUUUAACGCAAUACAAUACAACUUUCAGCAACGGAUCUCUUGGCUCUCGCAUCGAUGAAGAACGCAGCGAAAUGCGAUAAGUAAUGUGAAUUGCAGAAUUCAGUGAAUCAUCGAAUCUUUGAACGCACCUUGCGCCUUUUGGCUAUUCCAAAGGGCAUGCCUGUUUGAGUAUCAUGAACACCUCAACCCUCAUGGUUUGCCAUGAUGGGCUUGGACUUUGGAGGUUUUGCAGGCUUGUUGCCGGCUCCUCUCAAACAAAUUAGCUUACCAGUGUACGGUGGCAUCACAGGUGUGAUAACUAUCUGCGCUUGUGGUUGUCUGCCAGGUAACCUUCAACCUUGGAGGUUUGCUGGGGCUUACAAAUGUCUCUCCUCAGUGAAGACAGCUUUCUGAAUGUUUGAUCUCAAAUCAGGUAGGACUACCCGCUGAACUUAAGCAUAUCAAUAAGCGGAGGAAAAGAAACUAACAAGGAUUCCCCUAGUAACUGCGAGUGAAGCGGGAAGAGCUCAAAUUUAAAAUCUGGCGUGCCUCCGGUCGUCCGAGUUGUAGUCUGGAGAAGCGUUUUCCGUGCUGGAC
rnacentral:rRNA from 1 species